UUUAUCUUUAACUAAUUUAUUAUCACACAUAUCUGUAAAUGAUUGCAUCGAAUUCACUAUAAUAGUCAUUAGUACCCCACUCAUUAAUCUGACCUAAAUUAUCAUUACCCAAAGCACAUACCCGCCACAUCAAAGCCUAACACCACACUAGCGCCAAAAAAUU
rnacentral:misc_RNA from 1 species